GCGUAGGCGGUAAAAGAAGUCAUCUGUGAAAACCUAUUGCUCAACGAUAGGCUAGCGGAUGAAACUGAAUUACUUGAGGGCACCAGAGGUAGACGGAAUUACCCGAGUAGGGGUGAAAUCCGCAGAUACGGGUAGGAACGCCGGUGGAGAAGUCGGUCUACUGGGGUGCACCAGACGCUGAGGCCCGAAAGCUAGGGGAGCAAACC
rnacentral:rRNA from 1 species